GGGGCUGACCUGGCUUCGAAGUAGGUACGGAGUCGGAACAGUGCACGCCGAGCACCAGUUCGCUCGUUAAUCCACUGGAAACAAAUUAACUGCGAACGACUCUUCGUACGCCCUCGCCGCUUAAAACCGGUGA
rnacentral:tmRNA from 1 species